GGAAACGCGAUCGAGCAUAGCUCAGCUGAAACGAAAUGUUGUAAUUGUCAAGUGCUUGUCGGGCGUGUUAUGAAAAUACACCACGAAGUAGAACAUAAAGUAAUUCUUACAAAGCAAAAGGACUAUAGGGUCAUCAUGGUAGUAAAAGUAUUUCUUUGGAAAAGUUCUUCGAAGAAAAGCUUUGGCCACAUCUCAAUGGAGCUAGAAGAUGGGACAUACAUAAGUUGGUGGCCUGAAACUCGGAUGGAAGAUUUAGUCCAAGCGGCAAUAGGAACUAAUGCGAAAUGGUUCGAGAGCCUGAAUGCCGAGAUAAAUCACAACCAAGCAUCGCCAACCGAGACAUUUUAUCUUCUUGGCCUGAAUGAGGGAAAUAUUAAGGUUUGGUUCCAAGGGUACCUAUCGGGGUCAUGCAAAUGGGAUAUUAUGACAAGGAGUUGUGCUGCGAUUGUGUACCAUGCGCUAUGUGAAGGCGCGGAUUUCUUCGCGGGAAAAGCUACGGAUAUUGUGACACCUGAAGGAGUCGCCGAACUUGUUCGGAGGUACACAACAGAUAAGAAAGUGGACAAAGUCGUUGUUUCCAGCUGCAAGCCGAAAAUUAAAUAAACUGCGAGUUUAUUGUGUCAAUAAUGAAAGUUAAGUGAAGUAACAUUGAAAGAUACUUACUAUUUUCACUUCGGCAGAGGUUAUAGUACUCACAACUAAAUUUUAAUGUAAUAACGUUUGAAAUAUUGAGUUGUUCGAGAAUAUGUCUUAUGUAGCCUUUACAAAGUAUUUUUAUCGAACAUAUCCACAAGGCGAACGUGUUUACGAAUAUGACCGUUUAUAUGUUCUGUAGUUUGACAGACUAUUUUAUUUAAAAGGCCAGUAAUCGGCUCGGUAUACAGACCUCUUUACGUAUAUGAACAGUAAUUGGCUUUUUAUGUCCCCCACCACAUAGUGGGGGAUAUAUUUUUUUUGCCCUGUCUGUUGGUUGGUUGGUUGGUUGGUUGUAGGUUUGUUUUUUUGCUCCAACUUUAACAUUUUGCCAUUACUUUUGCAAUAUUGAAGAUAGUUAGCAACUUCAUAUUUGGCAUGCAAGUUUAUCUCAUGGAGCUGCACAUUUUGAGUGGUGAAAGGUCAAGGUAAUCCUUUAAGGUCAAAAGUCAAAUACAUAGCUUCAAAGCGGCGCAGUAGUGGACAUAGUGUUUCUGACAAACACAUAUCUUGUUAUUACCUGUUUUCGUAUAUCACUAGUAAUAGGCUCGCAUGUGUGCCUUCUGCGACUAUUAGGUAGCUAGUGAUGUUUAAUAAUACAUAAAACAUUAGACAUUCGCACAUGUCUUAGUUUGUUUGAAAAAGUUGUGAUAUUGAUUUAUCUUCCGAUUCUCUUUUAUUUAGACGGUCAUUCAUUCAUUGAAAUGAGCAGUCGGGUAGGAUAAUGUACUUUGAAAUUGAUGUUCAGGGGUGUCUAGUUAAUACAGUUUACAUAUUUCUACGCGAUUUAUAGCUCUUUGCCUGUUAUUAUUUCGCAUAAUAUGCUCCGUUACUGAUUUGAAAUUAGCAAAAGCUUAUUUGCGUGUAACGCGCAACAAACUCGGCUAUUCGAUGCUUAUUGUAACAUUUAAAGGGGCCGUCCAACAGAUUUUGGCAUGUAUUGAAGCUUGUCAUUAAAUGCUUUUAUAUUGAUAAAUUUAAACAUUUGAACUAAAAAUCUCGUGUAAAAAAAAGAAUACAAUUUAAAAAAAAGGAAAAAAGUAAACCUCACCAGGGCUCGAUCCACGGACCCCUGGAGUCCUGGAGUAUAAAGCCUCCGCCUAGACCACUCGACCAUCCUCGCUCAUGUUUUGAGCGGAUGUAUUUUAUAGCUUUAUAAGCAAUCCUCGUAGUUUCCCAAAAUAUCGUUUCGCGUCGAUACGACGCUUUAUCUGUUGGACGGCCCCUUUAAUAAUCAUCGUUAAAUAAAGUAAUAAUGCUCACUGCGGUAUCGUACUUGUUUCAAUUCAUCUAUUCAACUGACUUAUUCUUGCAUAUCAUAUUCAUUCAUGUACUUGUGCAUAGUCAAUAAUGAUUUAAUAUGGUCAACAUGUAUUCAUAUAAUUAUAAGAGACCAAUAGCAAACAAAUGCUUACAUUGAUUACAUAAUCUUAUUUAUUCACAUUAAAUAAACGACACUUUUAUACACAUUACAUGAAUUAUGACCGUAGUUAAUAUAAAGUAAAACACACACACUAUGAAACCAAAACCACUUUUGAUCUGCGGAAUUAAACAUAUAACUACAGUAUCAAACAAAAAUGUAUGAACAUUAACUAGAAUCAGUUUUAAAAACAAAUAGAUCUAAUGAACUUGCAUAUGGUGAUUAAAGGGGCCUUUUCACAGAUUGGCAUAUUUUGAAGUUAGUCAUUAAAUGCUUUAUAAUGAUAAAUGUAAACAUUGGAUCUUAAAAGCUCCAGUCAAAAAUCUAGAAUAAAAUUUAAAAAAAGGAAAAAAAGUAGCCGGUACCAGGGCUCGAACCAGUGACCCUCGGAGUCGUGGAGUUAGGCUGGAGUAAAAACGCAAUAGCCCUCUCGGCUAUUCCGCCGAGUGUACAUGUGAUAGGUAUUUUAUACGUUAUAUAAUACAUACCUUACUAUAUAUAGUAACAAAUUUGUACAGUUGUUCAUGCUAUUAUCACCAUUGCGGGGUCAUUAUAAAUAUUCUGCCCUAGGGCCGAUUAUUUAUAUUCGGCCCUCAGAAUGUGUGCGCGUGA